rnacentral:rRNA from 1 species
GCGGCAGACGGGUGAGUAACGCGUGGGAAUCUACCUUUUGCUACGGAAUAACGCAGGGAAACUUGUGCUAAUACCGUAUGUGUCCUUCGGGAGAAAGAUUUAUCGGCAAGAGAUGAGCCCGCGUUGGAUUAGCUAGUUGGUGGGGUAAAGGCCUACCAAGGCGACGAUCCAUAGCUGGUCUGAGAGGAUGAUCAGCCACAUUGGGACUGAGACACGGCCCAAACUCCUACGGGAGGCAGCAGUGGGGAAUAUUGGACAAUGGGCGCAAGCCUGAUCCAGCCAUGCCGCGUGAGUGAUGAAGGCCCUAGGGUUGUAAAGCUCUUUCACCGGAGAAGAUAAUGACGGUAUCCGGAGAAGAAGCCCCGGCUAACUUCGUGCCAGCAGCCGCGGUAAUACGAAGGGGGCUAGCGUUGUUCGGAAUUACUGGGCGUAAAGCGCACGUAGGCGGAUCGAUCAGUCAGGGGUGAAAUCCCAGGGCUCAACCCUGGAACUGCCUUUGAUACUGUCGAUCUGGAGUAUGGAAGAGGUGAGUGGAAUUCCGAGUGUAGAGGUGAAAUUCGUAGAUAUUCGGAGGAACACCAGUGGCGAAGGCGGCUCACUGGUCCAUUACUGACGCUGAGGUGCGAAAGC